GAGGGCUUCCCAUGGCUCUGGUUUCAGGGUGUUGACCUGGGUUUGAAGAAUGGAGAUAAACCUUGUGGGAAACAACAGGUUUAGGCCACUCUCCCCUCAUUUCCUACUUCUGUCUCUUCCUCUAGGUACAGCUGUUGGGAGCUACCUCUCCUGCCCUCAAUCUCCCUGCCUGUGGUUCCAGAGGGAAGAAGAGGGGAAAAAAAGGAUGAAGAAUAUUGUUUCAGUGCUGGGGGAGAAGAAGAAGAAGGAAUUUUCAAUACUCCCACUUGUCAAGCGAAGACCAUCUGUUAACCUUCAACAGCAGCGAAAGCCGUGUGAACUCUCGGUGAACCAAGAUUGAAGUCAUAAAUCACGCGUACAAAGGCGGCUGCGGAGGCUGGCGUGGACUGCUGCACCUUUAACGCUUUCUGGGGCUGACAGGCGGCGGCCCAGCUAAAGUUCACAGCGCCCGGGGAGAGCCCGCCUCCGCCUCCCCUCCCGCCCCCGCCUCCCUUCCCCCAGGCCGGCCCCAGCCCCCAGCCCCGGACCCGCCCGUCGCGCGGCCUCCUGAGCUGCGAGCUGAAGAGGCCCCUUGGCUGUUCCCGCAAAGGGCGGGGGGCGCAUUUUCUCUCCUGCCAGCCCCUCCAUCCUGGUCGUUUACUCCCGGCCUUCCCUCACCCCCCCCACCCCCACAGCCUGCUGUACGUAAAUAGGCAAAUAGAUCUACACGGACACAAUAAUUUAGCUUGUUUGGUCUUUGGCAUUUUCUACAAGACCCCAAGAGAUGGACUUUCCUCUCCCCUUCCUCCUUUUAGAAAUGGCAUCCUUCAUCUCUGUCUAUGCAGGCCCAAUUAUCCAGAUCCUCGGGGCUCCAAUAAGGUCUGAGUCACUGGAACCAGGAACACCUGGCUGAAACAUGCCACAUAAUUAGAUUUUCUUUUUCUUUACCUUUUCUUUCUUAUUUUUAUAAGAGGCCCGGAGUUAGCCUCUUCGACUGGGGUGGAGUAGCUGGGGUGUGGGAAAGGAACACCUUCAUACAACUUCCAGCUUUCAGCCCCUUGGAGAGAUUUCCAAGUUCCCCCGAGCCGCCAGGACUUCCUUUCCUCGAUCUCUCGGCCACCUCCUCCUCCUUCUCUGAUCUUUUUUUUUUUCCCUCCCCCCACUGUCUUCUCCACGGUUUAAUUAAAGUUCAGCGACUCCA